GGGGCUGACUGGAAUUGACGGGAAGAUUAAAUCCAAUGUAAGCAUGCGAGGUGUUGUAAGUAUUACCUCUAGUAUAAAACUUACACAAUCCGUAAACGGCAACUUAGCUGUAAUCAAUAAUUCCCGCCGUUGCAAAUUUGUUGCGCUUCGAAAAGAAGAAGAAGAGGACGAUGAAUUGCGUAUGGCUGCUUAAUCGAUAGAUUAAGGGGAAUUUGUCCCGCUGGUUUUUGUGUUAUCGGAUCAGCAUAGGGGCAUCGAUGGAUAGCACUAGUGUGGUCAGGUGCGUGAUGGCCGCAUAAAUCAUAACCGGGCAUAAGCGUAACAUCAGGUGAGUGGCUGACCUUGGUUGCGCCGACAAUAAACAGUUGCUAAGCAUGUAGAAAGCGUUGUGGUUUCCUUGUUCGGACGAGGGUUCGAUUCCCUCCAGCUCCACUU
rfam:Cardinium endosymbiont cEper1 of Encarsia pergandiella complete genome